CUAUAAGUAGCUCAAACAGGUAGAGCACCAAAACCAAUUUUGAUGUUGCGGGUUCAAAUCCCGCCUUAGUCA
rnacentral:tRNA from 3 species